GAUGAAGAACGCAGUGAAUCGCGAUAAGUAAUGUGAAUUGCAGAUUUUCCGUGAAUCAUCGAAUCUUUGAACGCACCUUGCGCUCCUUGGUAUUCCGAGGAGCAUGCCUGUUUGAGUGUCAUCGAAACCUCGGAUCGACGCUUCGACCCCGUCGAAGCUCGGUUCGGACUGUGGGAGUCUGCCGGCGAAGCGUGACUUCGUCGGCUCUCCUCAAAAGCAUUAGCUGUGGGUGGCGAGCCUGGCAUGGCACGGCCUGUUCGACGUCGUAGUGAUCGUCGGGGGCUGGAAGUGUAUGGCUCGACGUGACCCAUGCUUCUCGAGUCUUGCGAGCCCGUCCCUCUGUGGGACGGCCGCGCCCCAUCGAAGCUUGACCUCAAAUCAGGUAGGACUACCCGCCGAACUUAAGCAUAUCAAUAGCGGAGGA
rnacentral:misc_RNA from 1 species